GAUGAACGCUAGCUACAGGCUUAACACAUGCAAGUCGAGGGGAAACGAUAUUGGAAGCUUGCUUCCGAUAGGUGUCGACCGGCGCACGGGUGAGUAACGCGUAUCCAACCUGCCCAUCACUUGGGAAUAACCUUGCGAAAGUAAGACUAAUGCCCAAUGACAUUUAUAGAAGGCAUCUGAAAUGAAUUAAAGAUUUAUCGGUGAUGGAUGGGGAUGCGUCUGAUUAGCUUGUUGGCGGGGUAACGGCCCACCAAGGCUACGAUCAGUAGGGGUUCUGAGAGGAAGGUCCCCCACAUUGGAACUGAGACACGGUCCAAACUCCUACGGGAGGCAGCAGUGAGGAAUAUUGGUCAAUGGGCGCAGGCCUGAACCAGCCAAGUCGCGUGAGGGAAGACGGUCCUACGGAUUGUAAACCUCUUUUGUCGGGGAGUAACGUGCGGGACGCGUCCCGUAUUGAGAGUACCCGAAGAAAAAGCAUCGGCUAACUCCGUG
rnacentral:rRNA from 1 species